rnacentral:rRNA from 1 species
GGGCCCGCACAAGCAGCGGAGCAUGUGGUUUAAUUCGAAGCAACGCGAAGAACCUUACCUAGACUUGACAUCUCCUGAAUUACCCUUAAUCGGGGAAGCCCUUCGGGGCAGGAAGACAGGUGGUGCAUGGUUGUCGUCAGCUCGUGUCGUGAGAUGUUGGGUUAAGUCCCGCAACGAGCGCAACCCUUAUUGUUAGUUGCUACCAUUUAGUUGAGCACUCUAGCGAGACUGCCCGGGUUAACCGGGAGGAAGGUGGGGAUGACGUCAAAUCAUCAUGCCCCUUAUGUCUAGGGCUACACACGUGCUACAAUGGCUGGUACAGAGAGAUGCUAAACCGCGAGGUGGAGCCAAACUUUAAAACCAGUCUCAGUUCGGAUUGUAGGCUGAAACUCGCCUACAUGAAGCUGGAGUUGCUAGUAAUCGCGAAUCAGAAUGUCGCGGUGAAUACGUUCCCGGGCCUUGUACACACCGCCCGUCACACCAUGAGAGUUGGCAAUACCCAAAGUUCGUGAGCUAACGCGUAAGCGAGGCAGCGACCUAAGGUAGGGUCAGCGAUUGGGGUGAAGUCGUAACAAGGUAGCCGUAGGAGAACCUGCGGCU